AUGCAAGUCGAACGCAGUAGCAAUACUGAGUGGCAGACGGGUGAGUAUAAUGUGGGUAUCUGCCUUUUGGUUUGGAAUAACACGGGGAAACUUGUGCUAAUACCGAAUAAGCCUUUACAGGGAAAGUUUUAACGCCGAAAGAUGAGCCCGCACUUGAUUAGCUAGUUGGUAAGGUAAAAGCUUACCAAGGCAACGAUCAAUAGCUGUUCUUAGGGGAAGACCAGCCACAUUGGGACUGAGACACGGCCCAGACUCCUACGGGAGGCAGCAGUGGGGAAUCUUGCACAAUGGGGGAAACCCUGAUGCAGCGAUGCCGCGUGAGUGAAGAAGGCCCUUGGGUUGUAAAACUCUUUCGUCGGGGAAGAAAAUGACUGUACCCGAAUAAGAAGGUCCGGCUAACUUCGUGCCAGCAGCCGCGGUAAUACGAAGGGACCUAGCGUAGUUCGGAAUUACUGGGCUUAAAGAGCUCGUAGGUGGUUAAAAAAGUUGAUGGUGAAAUCCCAAGGCUUAACCUUGGAACUGCCAUCAAAACUUUUUAGCUAGAGUGUGAUAGAGGUAAGUGGAAUUUCUAGUGUAGAGGUGAAAUUCGUAGAUAUUAGAAAGAACACCAAAUGCGAAGGCAACUUACUGGGUCACUACUGACACUGAGGAGCGAAAGCAUGGGUAGCGAAGAGGAUUAGAUACCCUCGUAGUCCAUGCCGUAAACGAUGUGUGCUAGACGUUGGAAAUAUAUUUUUCAGUGUCGCAGCGAAAGCAUUAAGCACACCGCCUGGGGAGUACGACCGCAAGGUUAAAACUCAAAUGAAUUGACGGGGACCCGCACAAGCAGUGGAGCAUGUGGUUUAAUUCGAAGAUACGCGCAGAACCUUACCAACACUUGACAUGUUCGUCGCGAGACUAAGAGAUUAGUCUUUUCAGUUUGGCUGGACGAAACACAGGUGCUGCAUGGCUGUCGUCAGCUCGUGUCGUGAGA
rnacentral:rRNA from 1 species